GGCGCUGUAGUGUAGUGGUUAUCACUCAAGAUUCUGAUUUGUUCAGUGUUCUUGUAACCCCGGUUCGAAUCCGGGCAGUGCCU